rnacentral:tRNA from 1 species
GCCUGGGUGGCUCAGUCAGUUGAGCAUCUGACUUCAGCUCAGGUCAUGAUCUCAGGGUUCAUGGGUUCGAGCCCCACAUCAGGCU